rnacentral:lncRNA from 1 species
AAAUGAUAUGGGAGCAGAUAAAAGAAAACUUCACAUUCACAGGUGCAAAUGAAGCCGCCGUGAAAGAUUGGGGCUUUAGCAAGGAUGAAAUUGGUUUUUCAGAUGUACAAGAAGAACCUGAACAAAGACAACAUAAAGAAAGGCCUUACACCAGAUUUCACAAAGCACCCGAAGUUAAAAGAUCACUGGGGAUUCAUUUGUGCAGUACAAGCAGUCGCAAAAGAGCACUAAGGCAACUAAAAC